CCAAUAGCGUAUAUUAAAGUUGUUGCAGUUAAAAAGCUCGUAGUUGAAUUUCGGGAUCAGAUUGUCGGUCGUGCCUCGGUACGCACUGGCAUUAUUGGUUCCUACCUUCUGAAGAACCGCGAUGUCAUUAAUUUGGUGUCGUGGGGAAUCAGGACUGUUACUUUGAAAAAAUUAGAGUGUUUAAAGCAGGCGCACGCUUGAAUACAUUAGCAUGGAAUAAUGAAAUAGGACGUUUGAUUCUAUUUUGUUGGUUUCUAGGAUCGACGUAAUGAUUAAUAGGGAUAGUUGGGGGCAUUAGUAUUCAAUUGUCAGAGGUGAAAUUCUUGGAUUUAUUGAAGACUAACUACUGCGAAAGCAUUUGCCAAGGAUGUUUUCAUUAAUCAAGAACGAAAGUUAGGGGAUCGAAGACGAUCAGAUACCGUCGUAGUCUUAACCAUAAACUAUGCCGACUAGGGAUCGGAUGAUGUUAAUUUUAUAAUGACUCAUUCGGCGCCUUACG
rnacentral:rRNA from 1 species